rnacentral:rRNA from 1 species
AUUGAACGCUGGCGGCAGGCCUAACACAUGCAAGUCGAACGAGUGGCGGACGGGUGAGAAACGUCUGGGAAACUGCCUGAUGGAGGGGGUUAACUCCUGGAAACGGUAGUUAAUACCGCAUACCUGCAGAUGUUCCCUGAUGGCACUAGCUAGUUGGUGGGGUAACGGCUCACCAAGGCCACGAUCCCUAGCUGGUCUGAGAGGAUGACCGGCCACACUGGAACUGAGACACGGUCCAGACUCCUACGGGAGGCAGCAGGGGGGAAUAUUGCACAAUGGGCGCAAGCCUGAUGCAGCCAUGCCGCGUGUGUGAAGAAGGCCUUCGGGUUGUAAAGUUCUGUCAGCGGGGAGGCGUUACCCACAGAGGAAGCACCGGCUAACUCCGUGCCAGCAGCCGCGGUAAUAC